UACGUAGGGGACGAGCGUUGUCCGGAAUUACUGGGCGUAAAGGGCGCGCAGGCUGUAGAUCAAGUCAGCUGUGAAAUGUCUGGGCUUAACCCGGGCAUGCGGUUGAAACUGAUGUACUGGAGUGCUGUAGAGGCAAGUGGAAUUCCCAGUGUAGCGGUGAAAUGCGUAGAUAUUGGGAAGAACACCGGUGGCGAAGGCGACUUGCUGGGCAGCAACUGACGCUGAGGCGCGAAAGCCAGGGGAGCAAACGGGGAUUAGAUACCCCCGUA
rnacentral:rRNA from 1 species